UAUAUGCAUUAGUUAAAGCUGACAUGUUAUACGUUUUGUGACUUCUUGUGUUAAAACGAUUAACCUGCGAUUAAGUAAUGGAAAUCAAGUAAAGUGUAAAUAAGCGAACUAUGACUAUGGCAUCUGUAUACUAUUGUCACUUUGGUUAUGUGUGCAGCCGUCGCCGAGCAAGCUCAACCAGAGUGCUCCGUUAAUUGCACACACUGCACAGCAAGCAAGUUCGAAAGCUGCAUGGAUGGAUUCUAUCCAUAUUUUAGUAACUGUUUAACAUGUAGUAGCCAAAACUGCAAAAGAUGUGAUACAAGUGGUUUGUGCACGUCGUGCAAGACAGAAUUCUACGGUGCAUCUUGUUCUAACCAAUGUGGAUCUGGGUGCAUCAAUGGUGCAUGUGGUUUUGACACAGGUGCAUGCCCGUGUUUGGACGGCUUUAAUUUAUGGUCUUGCAGACAAGCUUGCUCGGAUAAGUGUCAAGAUGUGUGUGAUAAAACGAGUGCUGUGUGCCGGUGUCAACCUGGAUUCUGCACAAAUUCGUGUAACUAAAACUGUUGGAGUCAAUGUGCUGAAUGUACCAACUCAACGUCAUGCUCUGUGUGCCCAGUCGGAAAAUAUGGACCAACAUGCAAUAUGAAUUGUAGUACAAUCUGCAGCGAUGGAUCGUGUGACAUUCAUACCGGUCAAUGUACGAAAACAUGCCCUGUCAACUGCCAGUAUUGUGACGAAGAAAAUGUUUGCACGGGUUGUGUCAACGGAUAUUUUGGAACAGAUUGUGAAAAGUCGUGUCCACUUAAUUGUGAAUCAGGUUUUUACUUGAACACAGGCUUUUGUCACAGUUGCAGAAUGAAUUGGUAUGGGAAUGAGUGCAACAUGAGUUGCACCGUGACCUGUAGCAACGGAUGCGAACAGGGGUCUGGAAAAUGUAAUAAAUGUUCUUUUGGUUAUUAUGGUGAAAUGUGUAACUUGACAUGUUCGAAAUGUAAAAAUAAUGUGUCAGAAAAAACGGUUUGUGCAAUGAAUGUGACCCUGGUCAUUAUGGGCCUUUUUGUGAACACACAUGUCCUCCACAUUGUCUAGGUAAUGUUUGUAAUCGAACAAAUGGUCAUUGCUACGACUGUGUACAAGGAUACACUGGUGUGAUGUGUAAUGAUAGCACAUGUCCUGCUCACUGUUUAAGUUGUGUCGGCCAGCAAUGCAAUGUUUGCCGUAGCGGUUUCUAUGGUGAGCUAUGUCGAUUAAUAUGUAGCACAAACUGUUCUCCAGACGGUUGCAACUUCAUAACUGGUACGUGCUUAUCAUGCAACACAUUAGGUUGGUAUGGCCCAACGUGUAAUGAAACAUGUAGUUUCACCUGUCUCAAUAACGUGUGUGACUGCAACACUGGGGAAUGUAAAAAUGCGUGUUCGAUACACUGCGCAAGGAUCGGAGAAGGUCAGACAUGCUUGAGGAAUGGAACAUGUACCAACGGAUGUGUGCAGAAUUAUUUCGGUUCCACGUGCGAUACAGGAACCUCUUUUGAGAACAAUGAUGGAUCACCGAUUCCAGUCAUCGCAGGCUCAGUAGGCGGAGUGGUGGUGGUUCUUAUUGUCAUCGGUGUGGCCAUAGUAAUCUUGAGACAGAGAACGAGAAGACAACCCACAGAUGCGAAUGAAUAUUAUAAUAUGCCGCCUUUCUGAAGUGGUAAACAGAAUACGAAUGCCAACAAACCACAAACAAAUACUGAGUCAAACUACAUCACUUUGGGUAAUAACCAGGAAGAAAACCAUAUAUAUUCCAGCCUCAACAGAAGCUAAAUGUGAAUAUUGGUUUACCAAUAUCGAUAACUGUAAAUUAAAGUGACUGCCACAUUGUGAAACUGACACAGUUAGCAGUUACCUUUCGAAACCACUUUGCCUUAUAAGACAAGGGGUAUGUAUGGCCUUCCCAAAACUGAAAGACUGCGCAGACAAUUGACGUCAAUGUAUUGUUUAACAGGCCCUCUGAUCUUUGCGAGAAGUACGUCUAUGAAUCCUAAACUAGCAUUUCCUUCUUGUUGCUUAUUUAUUCGGACACUUCUCACUUCCAGAUUGAUUGUAUUUGAAGUCGAAAACGUGAAUGUGUUAUUAACUGCUACUAGAUUAGAGUCUAUAUAUAUGAAGGCAUUCACAUGUUUUCAGAUAUAUGUUGCAGAUUAUAAGAUUCAAUACACAUAUAAGGACUAUUUCUAUUAAUAUCGACAGAGAUGGCAUUAAUGAUAGUUUUGCAUAAUUAGUAAACAUAUGACAGUUUGUAUAAUGCUAUGACUGUACUGUGCACAUAGUCAAAUUCGUAGUUUGUUUAUUCACUUCAUGUUUUUACCAAUUAUAAUAAUCUGUUUAAAUAUAUACCAAUGGUAUCAACAUGGAAUUUAUAUAUAUAUAUAGAUAUCAUUCAAUAACAAGUUCAUGUCUCCCGACAACAACAAUAUUUUGAAAUUUCUGACGCAACAAUUGAAAAUUUCUUUAAACCAGUCUGAAAACUAUGAGUGCAUUCCGAAGGAAUUAUUUUGGAACAAAAUAUCAAUUAUAACGCCUGAUUUGUGAUGUGCAUACCUUUUUGUUAGACGAGUGAAAGACGAUCGUAAAAUAUACAUACACUUUAAUUUGUGUUACAAUGUGACUUUUGAAUAUGGAUGCAUGCAACGAACAUUUCAUACUUUAUUUUCCGAUGUAUGUAACUAUCAUGAUUGUCUUUGGUAGACCCUGUCAGUAUAUACAGUGUUUUGAAACGUGGCUUUUACAUGCAUCGAUUCAUAAAUAUGUUUACAAGUAUAAAUACGCCAAUAUAUAAUAAACAUUAUUAAUAAUAACUGGAGUGAUAAAGUACUUUUCAUUAAAUCAUUAUUUUCAUAAUUAACAAAUGAUCAAAAUGUUUGUUUAACGACACACCUUCUAAUUUCGUAAUUAUACGUCUGAAUCUACUUUCCCUUUAAGCGUGCUCCAACUUAAACUUCCUGCUUCAUUGCUUUAUGAUCUCAAGUCAGUACACAAAGAUUUAAUAUUC